rnacentral:rRNA from 1 species
UACGGAGGGUGCAAGCGUUAUCCGGAUUCACUGGGAUUAAAGGGUGCGUAGGUGGGCAGGUAAGUCAGUGGUGAAAUCUCCGAGCUUAACUCGGAAACUGCCGUUGAUACUAUUUGUCUUGAAUAUUGUGGAGGUAAGCGGAAUAUGUCAUGUAGCGGUGAAAUGCUUAGAUAUGACAUAGAACACCAAUUGCGAAGGCAGCUUACUACACAACGAUUGACGCUGAGGCACGAAAGCGUGGGGAUCAAACAGG